GUGCACAACAAAUCCUCCAAAUCCGAAAUCCCAUUACAUCUCUCUGCAUUUCCCCUUUUUGUACAAGUUCCUUCGUUUUCAUAUCCAGUAUCAAACCCCAUUGUGCAGAGAGAUGUAAUGGGGCUUAUAAUUUGGAGGAUUUGAUGUGCAG
rnacentral:miRNA from 1 species